ACAUUAUAUUAAAUACAGGUAAAAUUCUCAGGCGAUCUUAUUUAUAAUUUUAAAUCUAAAAUUUUGCACAGGCAAAACCGCGUGCAAUAGUAGUGACAUUAACGUAAUGUGAUGAAACUUACUUUUUACCUUAGACCCAACAGGGUAUUGAGCUGGCAACGUCCCAUAGGUUCACUUCACGACCUUGACGACGGUCAAUAGGAAGAGCGGCAACGUCGGUUGUAAUAUGUCAAAUCAUAAAUAAGGCUUCUAUCAAAUACUCAUAACAAUGGAGGUACACGAGUGUACUUUGUUUACCGUUGUUUACUUUUCUUGACGUAAGUGAAGACGCUAUUUCAAGAAAUUUGAAGUGCUAAUUCAUUAAAAUAUGUACGCUUUCAUGACUGUGCCUCAACUUAAAGUUGAGGUUCGUAAAAGAAAUGCGUCAAUUGCCGGAAAAAAAGGCUAAUUUGAUAGAAAGAUUGCAAUCUAAUGACCGGAAUAAAAAUUUUGGUGUUGACUGCGAGAUCCAAGAGGAGAUCGCAUAUCUGAGUCCAGCCACUGAUACUUUCAGAGACAUAAUUGCGGACACUUCUUUACCAAUGAUUACGAGACAAGCAAUACAGGAAUAUUUUGAAAGUUAUGUACCCAUAUGUAAUGAUUAUAAUCUUAGGCAGUUGUUUACAAAGAUGACAGUGUAAAUUUUAUGUAUUUAAAUUGGUAUACCUACACUCAUAUAUCAUGAUAUCUUGAUAACAUUAUAUUAUAUUUUCUUACUACAUUAUUGUUUUUGCAGAUAUAAUACUCAGCAUAAAGGACAACUCCUGUACGAAUUUCGACAUCUUGUGACUGCCCGCUUAUUCUCACAGAUGGCAUUUAUACCCACUUGCGAGGACAAUGUAAAGCCAGUAUGAAAAAAAUGGUAUACUUUGUGGAUAUAAAAUUAAGUAAAGAUGGAGUAAUUGAAGAAUGCCAUUGCGAUUGUGCUGCAGGCAGUGGUACUCAAGCAUGUUGCAAACAUGUCUCUGUAUUGUUGGAUGACAUGUGAACCCGCAAAUCCACAUGGCAUUGAAUGGGAUCGUUACACCUAUGUAGAUAGGACUCCAAUAGAUAUUUUACUAGAGAAGCUAUUAUUAAAAAUAUUAUAUCUGAACAAAUUCAGGAAGUGAGAAGAAUACAAGAGCCCAAAGUGAUUCCUCUGAGUGGCAUGAAAGAUCAUGCAGGAUUACUGCCAGUAUGUUUCAUUUAGUGUGCCACAGUAAAGCAUAUAAGUACCAAAAAUAUAUGUAAUCGAUAUGAUUUUGGCCCCUAAAGCUGUGCAGACUAUGUUAGUUGUGCAUAGUAAAAUCCAAGAAACUAUUUCCAUUGCCAAAUAUGAUAGAGAUUAUGGACUAAAAAUAAAAAAAGUGGAUUCAUUAUAUCAUUUGAAUAUCCUUUUCUGGCUGUUUCUCCAGACGGUAUAUUGGGUAAAGAUACUAUUGUUGAGGUUAAGUGUCCAUAUGCUGCUAGAUAUUAUAAAAUAACCUCUGUGACUGUGCCUUACUUAAAAUACUUAAUGGAGAAUUACAUUUAAAAAGCAGCAUCCAUAUUAUGCCCAAAUCCAAGGCCAACUUUAUUGUUCGGGGGACUUAAUAUUGCAAUUUUAUUGUUUACACAUUUGAGGAUAUGAAAAUAAUAUUCAUUAAUAGAGAUGACUCAUUUAUUAAUGGCAUGUUGACAAAUUUGUUAAACUUUUAUGUACAUAAUUUAGAACCAGAAAUGUAAAUAAGUAUGUGUAUAAGAACUAUUUACAAUUAAUAAAUAAAUUGAAAUAA